rnacentral:misc_RNA from 1 species
CAAUAUUGUAUACAUAUAAGUUGCUUUACAAACACGAACAAAUUAUCACUCGAGUCCUGAUUAUUGAAGAAGUUUUUAUUUCAAUCAAAUAAAUAUUUAAAUCAAGUAAAUUGAUAUACAGAUAAAUAACAUGAAAGAUAGAAUCGCAUUAUUGUCCCGUCUGGCGUUCGAUAGGCGACGAAAUUCGGAUGGUCAUCUCAGCGUUUCAGCGGUCGACGUUUUUCUUAAGUUACUCGCCUAUCAUAAUCUGGAAGUCUAAGGAAUAACCAUUUUUCGCAUGUAUAUUCUGUGCCCACGCUGUACAUUCGACGGUUAUUAGUCUGUUAACUAUAAAGGCAAGUACUUUGAGUUAUAGUUUUUUCUUUUAUACAUCGUGACAUGAAUUCAAAUAAUUCAAUUGGAUAUCGCAGGUGUUUUUUGUUUUUCUCUUGAAUUUCAUAUUCAAAUAUUUUGAUGUAAAUUCACAAUCAGUGGACUGACCUGCUACGUUUUUGAAUUUUAAAGCGACCAACGGAGGCAUGUGAUGCUUAUCGCCAUAGUAAGGAAAGUAUUCAACUGGAAAUCUCGGACUUGGAAAAAAAUUGGCAGCCUACUGACAGUCUCGAUUCACGUCUAGAACAUAGAACCUGAUGAUGCAUCUGAAAUAUGCAUUUGUCAAUUAUUAACAUACAAACAUCAUUUAGUAUAUAUCUAUGAGUUUAGUAUUUCUCAACGUAAUUAGCAUAAUAUUUAAAUGGUAAUUCCAUAGAUAUAUUAAGCGAAUGAAAGAUGAUGUCUGGAGUAUUGCAAAACAUUUAUUGUGAGAAAACAUAUCUUCGUACAAAUGAGAUCGAUGUACAUAAUGAUGAGUUGACAUUUAUUUAUCAAUGUUGAUUUGAUUUAGCAAUAAACUACAAGUACCCUC